GCCGAAGUGGUGAAACUGGUAGACGCGCUGGACUCAAAAUCCAGUCCCCUUUAUGGGGGUGUGGGUUCGAUUCCCACCUUCGGCA
rnacentral:tRNA from 1 species